rnacentral:rRNA from 1 species
GAUGAACGCUGGCGGCGUGCCUAAUACAUGCAAGUCGAGCGAACAGACGAGGAGCUUGCUCCUCUGACGUUAGCGGCGGACGGGUGAGUAACACGUGGAUAACCUACCUAUAAGACUGGGAUAACUUCGGGAAACCGGAGCUAAUACCGGAUAAUAUGUUGAACCGCAUGGUUCAAUAGUGAAAGACGGUUUUGCUGUCACUUAUAGAUGGAUCCGCGCCGCAUUAGCUAGUUGGUAAGGUAACGGCUUACCAAGGCAACGAUGCGUAGCCGACCUGAGAGGGUGAUCGGCCACACUGGAACUGAGACACGGUCCAGACUCCUACGGGAGGCAGCAGUAGGGAAUCUUCCGCAAUGGGCGAAAGCCUGACGGAGCAACGCCGCGUGAGUGAUGAAGGUCUUCGGAUCGUAAAACUCUGUUAUUAGGGAAGAACAAAUGUGUAAGUAACUCUGCACGUCUUGACGGUACCUAAUCAGAAAGCCACGGCUAACUACGUG